CCUACGGGGGGCUGCAGUGAGGAAUAUUGCGCAAUGGGGGAAACCCUGACGCAGCAACGCCGCGUGAGUGAGGAAGGUUUUCGGACCGUAAAGCUCUGUCGAGCGGGAAGAAGUGCAUGGUGGCUAAUAUCCAUUAUGCUUGACGGUACCGCUAAAGGAAGCCCCGGCUAACUCCGUGCCAGCAGCCGCGGUAAUACGGGGGGUGCCAUCGUGGGUCGGGAUCAUUGGGCCGGCAGAGCGUGUAAGAUGCGAAAGCCCUGGGCUUAACCUAGGAAGUGCAUUUGAAACUGUUCAGCUUGAGUAAGGGAGAGGAAAGUGGAAUUCCUGGUGUAGAGGUGAAAUUCGUAGAUAUCAGGAGGAACACCGGUGGCGAAGGCGACUUUCUGGCCCUAUACUGACGCUGAGACGCGAGAGCGUGGGUAGCAAACAGGAUUAGAUACCCGAGUAGUC
rnacentral:rRNA from 1 species